AGCAGCCGCGGUAAUUCCAGCUCCAAUAGCGUAUAUUAAAGUUGUUGCAGUUAAAAAGCUCGUAGUUGAAUUUCGGGGUCAGUAGGUUGGUCGUGCCACUGGUAUGUACUGGUCUCACUGAUUCCUCCUUCCUGAUGAACUGUAAUGCCAUUAAUUUGGUGUUGCAGGGAAUCUGGACUGUUACUUUGAAAAAAUUAGAGUGUUUAAAGCAGGCUAACGCCUGAAUACAUUAGCAUGGAAUAAUGAAAUAGGACGUUCGAUCCUAUUUUGUUGGUUUCUAGGAUUGACGUAAUGAUUAAUAGGGAUAGUUGGGGGCAUUAGUAUUCAAUUGUCAGAGGUGAAAUUCUUGGAUUUAUUGAAGACUAACUACUGCGAAAGCAUUUGCCAAGGAUGUUUUCAUUAAUCAAGAACGAAAGUUAGGGGAUCGAAGACGAUCAGAUACCGUCGUAG
rnacentral:rRNA from 1 species